UACGUAGGGGGCGAGCGUUGUCCGGAUUUAUUGGGCGUAAAGAGCUCGUAGGUGGUUCGGUAAGUCGGGUGUUAAACCCCCAGGCUCAACCUGGGGACGCCACUCGAUACUGCUGUGACUAGAGUCCGGUAGGGGAGCGUGGAAUUCCUGGUGUAGCGGUGAAAUGCGCAGAUAUCAGGAGGAACACCAGCGGCGAAGGCGGCGCUCUGGGCCGGUACUGACACUGAGGAGCGAAAGCGUGGGUAGCAAACAGG
rnacentral:rRNA from 1 species